GGUGGCUCAGUGGUAGAGCGCUUGCCUUGCAUGCACAAUGCCCUGAGUUCGAUUCCUCAGCACCA
rnacentral:tRNA from 1 species